GCUCCAGUAAGCAGCGCCAACGUUGUUGCAGUUAAAAAGCUCGUAGUUGGAUUUCUGUUGAGAGGGUUGUAGUGGAAACACUACUGACUUGAUUAAUCUCAACUUGUUUGGGAAGGUGUGCCUGAUGUGGCAACACAUUGGGGUUCCGCGCCUUCUCAUCUUUCACUGUGAAAAAUUGGAGUGUUCAAAGCAGGCUUUAA
rnacentral:rRNA from 1 species